AAUGAUAGCUGGGAUAAAUACAUACAACACAAAAUAACCAAUAUCCAACUCAAUACAAUAGAACAGGCAACUCACUCAAGAAGGAAUACACAGGGCCAAUAAAUGUAUGAAAAGUUGCUCAUCUGAAUUAAAGCAACAAAGAGAUGCCAUUUUUUUUUCACUCCUCAGGUUGGCAAGAAAACAUUGUUUAAAUUAAAAACCUAUAGCAUUCUGUGCUAGCAAGCAUGAGAAGAAGCAACCACUCUCACACACUGCUAAUGGAAUGGGAAUCGCUACAUCCUUUUUUGGAAAUCCGGAUGGUAACAGCUACUAAAAAUUGAAAAACACAUAGCCUUUAACCCAGCAACCCCACCUCUAGGACUCUAUGCUAUGGAAAUGAAAGUGCUAUAUAUUUGUAAGUGAAUUUUUAGUUUUAGAAUAGUUUUAAAUUUACAGACAACUUAUAAAAAUAGUACAGGGAAUUUGCAUACACCCUACACCCAGUUUUUCCUACAAACAUCUUACAUUAGUAUGGUAUAUUUGUCACAACUAAUGAACCAAUAUUGAUAUAUUAUUAACUAAAGUCCAUAUUUUGUACAGAUGUCCUUAGUUUUCACCUACAUCCUUUUACUAUUUCAGGAUCCCAUCCAAGGUACCACAUAGUAUUUGAUCAUCCUGCCUUCUAAGGCAGCAGUCCCCAACGUUUCUGGCACCAGGAACCAGUUUCUUGGAAGACAGUUUUUCCACAGACAUGAGGGGCAGGCAGAGGAAUGAGAUGGUUUCCAGAUGAAAUCAUUCCACCUCAGAUCAUCAGGCAUUAGUUAGAUUCUCAUAAGGAGCCCACAACCUAGAUCCCUCGUAUCCAUAACCAUAGUUCACGUUAGAGCUUGCCUCCUAUGAGAAUCUAGUGCCGCCACUGAUCUGGCAGGAGGCAGAGCUCGGGUGCUAAUGCUCUGGCCCACCUCACACCUCCUGCUGUGCGGCCGGGUUCCUAAUAGGCCACAGACCAGUACCAGUCCACCGCUUGGGGGUUGGGGAACCCUGACCUUUUUUUCUUUUCUUUCUUUUUUUUUUUUUUUUUUGAGACAGGGUCUCACUCUGUGACCCAGGCUGGAUGGAGUGCAGUGGUGCAUUCACAGCUCACUACAGCCUCAGCUUCCUGGGCUCAAGCAAUCCACUCACCUGGGCCACACAAAGUCCUGGGAUUACAGGUGUGGGUCACCAUGCCCAGCCAGGGGCCCCUGUUCUAAGGCUCUUCUACACUGUGACAGUUUCUCAGACUUUCCUUGUUUAGUGUUUAUCUAAUUGACAAAUAAUAAUUGUACCUAUUCAUGGGGUUCGUAGUGAUGUCUUGAUAUACAUAAUGUAUAGUGAUCAGAUCAGGGUAAUUAGCAAAUCCAUCAUCUCAAAUAUUUAUCACUUCUUUGGGCUGGGAACAUUAAUAUCCUCCUCCUAUUUGAAACUAUAUAUUAACUACAGUCAUGUUACAGUGGUGUAGAACACUAAAACUUAAUCCCUCUAUUUAGCUGUAAUUUUGUAACAAAUCUCUCCAUAUCCUCCCCUUCCCCUUAGCCUUCCCAGCCUCUAGCAUUCUCUGUUCUACUUUUUACUUCUACAAGAUCCAUUUAUUUUAGCUUUCAUGUAAGACUGAGAAAUGCAGUGUUUAACUCUGUUCCUGGUAUAUUUCACUUAACAUCAUGUCCUCCAGUGCCACCCAUGUUACCAUGAAUGACAGGAUUUCAUUCAUUUCAAUGGCUGAAUAGUAUUCCAUUAUGUAUAUAUACCACAUUUUCUUUAUCCAUUCAUCUAGGUUGAUUCUAUAUAUUGGCUAUUGUGAAUAGUGCUGCAAUAAAUAUGGGGCUGCAGAUGUCUCUUCAAUAUAAUGAUUUCCCUUCCUUUGGAUAAAUGCCCAGCAGUGGGAUUGCUGGAUCAUACGGCAGUUCUAUUUGUAGUUCUUUGAGGAACCUCCAUACUGUUUUCCAAAGUAACUAUGCCAGUUUACAUUCCUACCAACUGUGGAUAGGAGUUCCCUUUUCUCUGCAUCCUCACCAGCAUGUUAUUUUUUUGUCUUUUUGAUAGUAGCCAUCCUAAGUGAGAUGCGACGAUACCUUAUUGUGGUUUUGAUUUGCACUUCCCUGAUGAUUAGCGAUGUUGAGCAUUUUUUCGUAUAUUUGUUGGCAUUUGUAUGUCUUCUUUUGAGAAAUAUCUGUUUAGGCCAUUUACCCAUUUUUCAACUGAAUUGUGUGCUCUUCUGCUGUUGAGAAGUUUGAGCUCCUUGUAUAUUCUGGAUAUUAGUCCCCCAUUGGAUGAGUACUUUGCAAAAAUUUUGUCCUAUUCUGUAGGCUGUCUUUUCACUCUGUUGAUUGUUUCUGUUGCUGUGCAGAGGCUUAGCAGUUUGAUAUAAUCCUAUUUAUUUAUUUUUUGGUUUUAUUGCCUAGUAAGCACUCAUUUUGAAUGAUAUAUUUACAAGAAUAUUUACUGCAGCAUUACAUCUAGAGGUAAAAACUAGAAACUUCUUAAAAUCCAUUAAAUGAAGAUUAAAUAAAUUUGGGAACACCCAUACCCUUCAGAUAACUCUAAAGCUAUUAAAAAGAAUGAUUUAGCUAUUUUGAUCUGGAGAGAGAUCCAUAGCAAAAUGUUAUAUGAGAAAAACAAGUCACAUAGAACUAAAUACACUUUGAUCCUAAUUUUUCGAAGUAAAUUUAUAUAUUUUUAUUAGCUUGGGAAAAGUCAUGAAAAGAUGCAGAAUAGGUCAUUGUCAUUGGUUACCUUAGGGAACCAGGGGUAGAAUUGCUGAAAUGAGCCACCGUGGCCAGCCGGUAAAAGAAAUUUUUUAAAGGUGCUGCUCUGGUUAGGAGUAAGGGAAAGGGGUCUAACAAGUCAGCCUCCAACCAAUUCGCCCCUCCCUGCUAUCUUAUGAAGACCCCUGAGGCACCCUCCCAAACUCCUGGGGCUCUUCUGAGUGAACACUGUUUGAAAACACAGACCUGAGUCAAUCCCCUUGCUCUACACAGCUGCCCAUCUGGUGAGUGUCAGAAUUCCCCCGAACCCUCUAAUCCCUCAGCCGGCUUUAUUUUGUGUUGCAUUUCAUUUUUCUUUAUAGUUUUUGGCCCUCCAUGGCACUGUAUGCUGCACUUCACUCUGUGCACCGCCUGGCUGUCUCACUGGAGUCCUGCUGUCUUUUUUCCACCAGUGCAUCCCUGCUGCACGGAACACAGUGGGAGGAAGAUUUAAUGGGAAAGGAAUGAAUGAACUGGAAAGGAACCCAGGUAUCUUGACACCCACCCAACUUGCCCUCCCAGUAGUGUAACUGUCCCCAACAACAACCAAAGCCAAGAUCACAUUAGGCUGCAUUAGGAGAUCAAAUGGGCCCACCGUACUCAUCAUGGUUCAAGCCUUGUCUGGAAUAGUGUGUUAGAUUCUAGCAGCUACAUUAAAGGAAACAAAUGUGGCAGAAGUGGCAUAUAAAUAAUAUUAUUGAGGGAUGACUUUGUGCCAGACAUACUGUACAUUCAUCUCAUCUAGUCAUGACAAUUAUGCUGUAAAGUAAUUAUUAUCCUCCUUUUGAAUCUGGGGAAACAGAGGCUCAGCACGUUUCAGUAAUUUCUCCAAAGGCCUAGGAUUCAAACCCCUGGCAAAGCUUGGGUUCUAUCCACCACACCGAGGUGUCUCUUGGAGGGGCCCCCAAAAGGGCAAGAAGAGUAUGGAGGAUCUAGAAAUCAUGACCAGUGAGGCCAGAUAUGGUGGCUCAUGCUUGUAAUCCCAGCACUCUGGGAGGCCAAGGUGCAAGGAUCCCUUUGAGCCCAAGAGUUUGAGACCAACCUAAGCAACAUAGGAAGACUCUGUCUCUGCAAAAAAAAAUUUUAAUUCGCCAGGUGUGGUGGCAUGUGCCUGUAGUUCCAGCU
rnacentral:lncRNA from 1 species